GGAGAGGUGUCAGAGUGGCCGAUCGUACAGCUUUGCUAAAGCUGCAGGGAGUCAAAUCCCUCGAGGGUUCGAAUCCCUCCCUCUCCG
rnacentral:tRNA from 1 species